rnacentral:rRNA from 1 species
AGUGAACGCUGGCGGUAGGCCUAACACAUGCAAGUCGAACGGCAGCACAGGAGAGCUUGCUCUCUGGGUGGCGAGUGGCGGACGGGUGAGGAAUACAUCGGAAUCUACUCUGUCGUGGGGGAUAACGUAGGGAAACUUACGCUAAUACCGCAUACGACCUACGGGUGAAAGCAGGGGAUCUUCGGACCUUGCGCGAUUGAAUGAGCCGAUGUCGGAUUAGCUAGUUGGCGGGGUAAAGGCCCACCAAGGCGACGAUCCGUAGCUGGUCUGAGAGAAUGAUCAGCCACAAUGGAACGGAGACACGGUCCAGACUCCUACGGGAGGCAGCAGUGGGGAAUAUUGGACAAUGGGCGCAAGCCUGAUCCAGCCAUACCGCGUGGGUGAAGAAGGCCUUCGGGUUGUAAAGCCCUUUUGUUGGGAAAGAAAUCCAGCUGGCUAAUACCCGGUUGGGAUGACGGUACCCAAAGAAUAAGCACCGGCUAACUUCGUGCCAGCCGCCGCCGUAA